rnacentral:rRNA from 1 species
GACGAACGCUGGCGGCGUGCUUAACACAUGCAAGUCGAACGGAAAGGCCCUGCUUUUGUGGGGUGCUCGAGUGGCGAACGGGUGAGUAACACGUGAGUAACCUGCCCUUUACUUUGGGAUAACUUCAGGAAACUGGGGCUAAUACCGGAUAGGAGCUCCUGCUGCAUGGUGGGGGUUGGAAAGUUUCGGCGGUUGGGGAUGGACGCGCGGCUUAUCAGCUUGUUGGUGGGGUAGUGGCUUACCAAGGCUUUGACGGGUAGCCGGCCUGAGAGGGUGACCGGCCACAUGGGGACUGAGAUACGGCCCAGACUCCUACGGGAGGCAGCAGUGGGGAAUAUUGCACAAUGGGCGGAAGCCUGAUGCAGCAACGCCGCGUGCGGGAUGACGGCCUUCGGGUUGUAAACCGCUUUCGCCUGUGACGAAGCGUGAGUGACGGUAAUGGGUAAAGAAGCACCGGCUAACUACGUG